UCUGUAAGCCUGCGAAGGUGGCCUGUGAGGGCUGCUGGAGGUAUCAGAAGUGCGAAUGCUGACAUAAGUAACGAUAAAGCGGGUGAAAAGCCCGCUCGCCGGAAGACCAAGGGUUCCUGUCCAACGUUAAUCGGGGCAGGGUGAGUCGACCCCUAAGGCGAGGCUGAAAAGCGUAGUCGAUGGGAAACAGGUUAAUAUUCCUGUACUUGGUGUUACUGCGAAGGGGGGACGGAGAAGGCUAUGUUAUCCGGGCGACGGUUGUCCCGGUUUAAGCGAGUAGGCUGAUGGUUUUGGUAAAUCCGGACUAUCUUAAGGCUGAGACGUGAUGACGAGGUUCUACGGAACUGAAGUAAUUGAUGCCAUGCUUCCAGGAAAAGCCUCUAAGCUCUAGGUAACAUUAAAUCGUACCCCAAACCGACACAGGUGGUCAGGUAGAGAAUACCAAGGCGCUUGAGAGAACUCGGGUGAAGGAACUAGGCAAAAUGGUGCCGUAACUUCGGGAGAAGGCACGCUGGCGCGUAGGUGAAGGGACUUGCUCCCGGAGCUGAAGCCAGUCGAAGAUACCAGCUGGCUGCAACUGUUUAUUAAAAACACAGCAC
rnacentral:rRNA from 11 species